UGUGGAAUAGUGUAAGAUGCACUUGAAAUUUUGGGUUUCAAAGAUUUAGUUUGACUCUAAAUUUUACAG
rnacentral:tRNA from 1 species